UACGGGGGGGAGCAAGCGUUGUUCGGAUUUACUGGGCGUAAAGGGCGCGUAGGCGGCCAUCGCAAGUCGGUUGUGAAAUCUCCGGGCUUAACCCGGAAAGGUCAACCGAUACUGCGGGGCUAGAGUGCAGAAGGGGCAACUGGAAUUCUCGGUGUAGCGGUGAAAUGCGUAGAUAUCGAGAGGAACACCUGCGGCGAAGGCGGGUUGCUGGGCUGACACUGACGCUGAUGCGCGAAAGCUAGGGGAGCGAACGGG
rnacentral:rRNA from 1 species